rnacentral:rRNA from 1 species
CGUGAGUGAAGAAGGCUUUCGGGUCGUAAAGCUCUGUCAAGUGGGAAAAAAGUCUGAUGAUUAAUAGUUGUCAGAUCUGAUGGUACCACUGGAGGAAGCACCGGCUAACUCCGUGCCAGCAGCCGCGGUAAUACGGAGGGUGCAAGCGUUGUUCGGAAUUACUGGGCGUAAAGGGCGUGCAGGCGGGUUGGUAAGUCAGAUGUGAAAGCCCUGGGCUCAACCCAGGAAGUGCAUUUGAAACUGCCAUCCUAGAGUAUGGGAGAGGAGAGUGGAAUUCCCAAUGUAGAGGUGAAAUUCGUAGAUAUUGGGAGGAACACCCGUGGCGAAGGCGACUCUCUGGACCAAUACUGACGCUGAGACGCGAAAGCGUGGGGAGCAAACAGGAUUAGAUACCCUGGUAGUCCACGCUGUAAACGAUGAGAACUAGGUGUAGCGGGUAUUGACCCCUGCUGUGCCGAAGUUAACGCAUUAA